rnacentral:tRNA from 1 species
GGUGGGUACAGCUCAGUGGUGGAGCGCGUGCUUAGCAUGCAUGAGGUCCUGGGUUCAAGCCCCAGUCCCUCCA